AUCGAUCGUGAACUUUCCCCCCUUACCAGUGCUGAGGGUGGAUUCAGCCAACAACACGCCGGCGGCGGUCAUGUGAGUAUCAGGCAGGAUCUCGAACCGGUACCCAAGCCCAUCGCUGCUUCCACCGCGCUCGCGCCACGCCUCCAGCCUCCCCCAGGGCUUCCAGGUGCUAUCACCGGGGCGGAGGAUCAACCAUGCCCCAGAG
rnacentral:misc_RNA from 1 species